rnacentral:rRNA from 1 species
AUACGGAGGAUGCGAGCGUUAUCCGGAUUUAUUGGGUUUAAAGGGUGCGCAGGCGGCCAUUUAAGUCAGCGGUUAAAUCGUGGGGCUCAACCCCAUUCUGCCGUUGAUACUGGGUGGCUUGAUUGCGGUCGAGGUUGGCGGAAUUCGUUGUGUAGCGGUGAAAUGCAUAGAUAUGACGAAGAACACCGAUUGCGUAGGCAGCUGACCAGACCGCAAAUGACGCUCAUGCACGAAAGUGCGGGGAUCGAACAGGAUUAGAUACCCUGGUAGUCCGCACAGUAAACGAUGAAUACUUGUUUUCGGCGAUAUAAUGUCGGAGGCAAAGCGAAAGCGAUAAGUAUUCCACCUGGGGAGUACGCCGGCAACGGUGAAACUCAAAUGAAUGGGCGGGG